GGCGGAGGCAGCGACCCCCUUCGGGCCUGGAUCUUCCCGCCGCGGGCCGGCACCUGCCGUUGCGAGCUCGGGCCGCGGCGACGUCUGUAGCGAAAAUUUAUCAGUCAAGAAGUAAACAGCAGCCAUUAUAGAACCUGAACCAAAAAUCCCUUCAAGUAAAAAGAACAUGAUCCUUAACUUCUCUGAGCCUCCUUUUCCUCACCUGAAAAAUCACCUAGUCCUACAGGAGUAGAUCCAUGCAAGGAUUUCUCUCAGCCCUGGCACAUGAUCUCUCUUUAAGAACCUUGGACAGGGUUCAGAAGGUGCAAUGGUGGUUGAGAUCCUGAAUUCCCACACGGCUGAUCUAGGUUUGAGUUCUGGACCCGGCAGCUUGAAAAAAGU